UGCAAGUCGAGCGGUAAGGCCCUUCGGGGUACACGAGCGGCGAACGGGUGAGUAACACGUGGGUAACCUGCCCUGUACUCUGGGAUAAGCCUUGGAAACGAGGUCUAAUACCGGAUACGACACUGGAUCGCAUGAUUUGGUGUGGAAAGUUCCGGCGGUAUGGGAUGGACCCGCGGCCUAUCAGCUUGUUGGUGGGGUAAUGGCCUACCAAGGCGACGACGGGUAGCCGGCCUGAGAGGGUGACCGGCCACACUGGGACUGAGACACGGCCCAGACUCCUACGGGAGGCAGCAGUGGGGAAUAUUGCACAAUGGGCGAAAGCCUGAUGCAGCGACGCCGCGUGAGGGAUGACGGCCUUCGGGUUGUAAACCUCUUUCAGCAGGGACGAAGCGCAAGUGACGGUACCUGCAGAAGAAGCACCGGCUAACUACGUGCCAGCAGCCGCGGUAAUACGUAGGGUGCGAGCGUUGUCCGGAAUUAUUGGGCGUAAAGAGCUCGUAGGCGGUUUGUCGCGUCGGCCGUGAAAACUUGGGGCUUAACCCCGAGCCUGCGGUCGAUACGGGCAGACUUGAGUUCGGCAGGGGAGACUGGAAUUCCUGGUGUAGCGGUGAAAUGCGCAGAUAUCAGGAGGAACACCGGUGGCGAAGGCGGGUCUCUGGGCCGAUACUGACGCUGAGGAGCGAAAGCGUGGGGAGCGAACAGGAUUAGAUACCCUGGUAGUCCACGCCGUAAACGGUGGGUGCUAGGUGUGGGGGACUUCCACGUCCUCCGUGCCGCAGCUAACGCAU
rnacentral:rRNA from 4 species